CUCUUUGUCUUCCGUGGGAGGGAAGAAAAGUGAAUUUGAGUCUGCAAAUACAAGUCCUCAACUUCUCAGUAUGAGAAGGGAUCCGUGGAGCUCACUCUUAACACUUCAGUGUCAUGACACAAAUAUCUACCAGCUAUGGCCAGGGCACAUAUUAAUGAAGAACCAGAAUUUUCCAGAUGAAAAGAUUCCUCACAUUGAGUCCACUGAGGCCACGCUCAAAGCCAACUCCUCUGGAAAAUAUCAAGGGGCUGCUAUAAUAUGGCCACAAAGAGCAAAAGCAGAUUUGUGUCUGGAGAGAAGAAGUCUAAGACCAAAUGCUGCCUAGAAAGCGAUUUAUUCACCUUACAGAGAUGAAAGGAGGGAAGCCCUGGUGGGCAAUAAAACUCAUCCACUGGGGCGGCACGGAGGCUCUCUUAUCGGAGUUGGUAGUUGGAAAAGUAUCUGGAAUCUCAAAGAAGACUCUAAAUAUUGUCCAAGAAAAAUGUCUAAAUAUAUCUUAAAACAGCACUGGUUUGUAUUAUAGUUUUUCAAACCUACAUGCUCUGUAGUUUUUAAACCUACAUGCUCUCACUUGAGAAAAAUUUAUACAGAUUAGGGUAGAGUAAAAGGAUACCUGAAUAAGUGAUACGUCAAUUACCAUAUAGCAAAGUGUGAGGG
rnacentral:lncRNA from 1 species